rnacentral:rRNA from 1 species
CAAUAGCGUAUAUUUAAGUUGUUGCAGUUAAAAAGCUCGUAGUUGGAUUUCGGGUGGGACGCAGCGGUCUCGCAUUGCGUUUGUACUGCUGCAGCCCUCCUUCUUGCCGGGGGCGGCCUCUCGGACUUCACUGUCUGGGGGUCAGAAUCGGCGAUGUUACUUUGAGUAAAUUAGAGUGUUCAAAGCAAGCUUUCGCUCUGAAUAUAAUAGCAUGGGAUAACACGACAGGACUCUGGCCUAUCGUGUUGGUCUAUAGGACCAGAGUAAUGAUUAAGAGGGACAGUCGGGGGCAUUCGUAUUCCGUUGUCAGAGGUGAAAUUCUUGGAUUUACGGAAGACGAACAUCUGCGAAAGCAUUUGCCAAGGAUGUUUUCAUUGA